GUCCAUGGCUGAUAGCUUGGAUGUUUCGAUGAUUGAGAUUUUGAGUGAACAUAUCCACAGAGAAAUGCAACCAAAACAUUGACCAAGGAUGUGAUGUUCCACAAUGCAUAGAUACGAGCAAGGCCUGCAGAACGCCUAGGUCCUUGGCUGAAUAAGGCAUUGAUUCCAGCUGGGAAUGGAAGGAGAAUGCCGAGAGGCAAAAUAAACAAAACUAGAAAAACGUCUGCCAAUGAGAAUGAAAACAUCUGGAGCAGAGUAAGCAAAACCAAGC
rnacentral:misc_RNA from 1 species